rnacentral:rRNA from 1 species
CAAAAACAUGUCUUUUUGAUUUUAAUUUAAAGUCUAAUCUGCCCACUGAAAUAAUUUUAAAUGGCCGCGGUAUUUUGACCGUGCAAAGGUAGCAUAAUCAUUAGUUUUUUAAUUGAAAGCUUGUAUGAAUGAUUGAAUAAGAUAUUUAUUGUCUCAUAAUUAUUUUAAUUAAAAUUUAAUUUUUAAAUUAAAAAGUUUAAAUUUUAUUAUAGGACGAGAAGACCCUAUAGAUUUUUAUAAUUAAAUUUAUAGUUUUAAUUUAAUUUAUUAAUUAAUUAAAUUUUUAAUUAUUUUGUUGGGGUGACAUUAAAAUUAAAUUAACUUUUAAUUUAAUUGAACAUUAAUUUAUGAAAUUUUAAUAUAUAAAUUAUUUAUAUUAUUUUAUUAUUAUAAUUGAUCCUUAAUUUUAGAUUGUUAAAUUAAAAUACCUUA